GAUAUUAGGUCAUCUUUUAUUCUAAGAAAAAUUCAAAAAAAAAGGGGGAAUUCUCUAGAGAAACAAAGGAUGGCCAAGUGUCCACAUUCUUACUUAAGGGGCCUAAGUGUAUAUAUAAAGAAGUGGUGGCUAAAAUGAAACAAGUAAGUCAUCUUUUAUUUAAGAGAAUUCAAGAAAAAGGGUGAAAGCUCUAGAAGAAGAAAAAAAAAUGAAUAAAGAGAGCAUGUGCUUCUCACAUGCUUGAAGAAGCCAAGUAUAUAUAUAGAUAGGAGAGGUCAUCUUUUUAAAUCAAGAAGUUGUAGAGAAAGGAAAAAAAAAUAUAGAAGAAGAAGAAAGAGGAGGGGCCAAUUCGGCCAAGAAGGAGGAGAAAGAGAAGACCAAAAAUCUUGCCCCAAAAUUUUAUUUCUCAUAGUAUUUCUACUAAUUCAAAGAUGCUCUCCAACAUGGUAUAAUUGUUGAAGCAAGAGAAUUAUUCUUUGGUGCAAAACUCCAACCUUAGCUAAGUUGAGAAGUUGUGAAGGAAAGAUUUUGGUGAAUUUGGAGCUUGAGUUUGGAGAAGCAAAAGGAGCGGAAAAGGUACUCCCAGAUGAUUAGAAGACCUUACUAAAGAUGUUCCAGCGGAGAUGGCGAACUCCACUUGUCCCGGAGAAUUGCCAAGUCCAAGUAUAUGCUAUGAUGUUCUGUUCUAUGUUAGAGACUUUGCAGACAAAGCAAUGGGUAUUGGGUUGUCAGUCUGUAAGCGGCUCCAGCAGCCGAUAUGC